AAGUCGUAACAAGGUAACCGUAGGUGAACCUGCGGUUGGAUCAUUACUGAUUUUCUUUGACCUGAGGUUGAGCUUUUUCUAAAGAUCCCUCAGUGUCAUCAACAUCUUGUGCACCUUUUGUGUAUUUGGGUUGCAUCUUAAGGAAUCAUUGAUUUCGAAAGAGCAACCCAACAUUGAUAAACAAACAUUUAUAUUUUUUGUCUGAAUUUUGUUAUAAAAAAAAAACAACUUUUGACAACGGAUCUCUUGGCUCUC
rnacentral:misc_RNA from 1 species